GAUGAACGCUAGCUACAGGCUUAACACAUGCAAGUCGAGGGGCAGCAUUAUCGAAGCUUGCUUUGAUAGAUGGCGACCGGCGCACGGGUGAGUAACGCGUAUCCAACCUGCCCACCACUUGGGGAUAACCUUGCGAAAGUAAGACUAAUACCCAAUGAUAUCCCACGAAGGCAUCCGAAUGGGAUUAAAGAUUUAUCGGUGAUGGAUGGGGAUGCGUCUGAUUAGCUUGUUGGCGGGGUAACGGCCCACCAAGGCAACGAUCAGUAGGGGUUCUGAGAGGAAGGUCCCCCACAUUGGAACUGAGACACGGUCCAAACUCCUACGGGAGGCAGCAGUGAGGAAUAUUGGUCAAUGGGCGAGAGCCUGAACCAGCCAAGUAGCGUGCAGGAUGACGGCCCUAUGGGUUGUAAACUGCUUUAUAAGGGAAUAAAGUGAGUCUCGUGAGACUUUUUGCAUGUACCUUAUGAAUAAGGACCGGCUAAUUCCGUGCCAGCAGCC
rnacentral:rRNA from 1 species